rfam:TPA: Bos taurus chromosome X, whole genome shotgun sequence.
UCCUUGGCUGUCCAGUGGUUAGGACUCAACACUUUCACUGCUGAGGCCCAGAUUUAAUCCCUGGUUGGGGAA